rnacentral:rRNA from 1 species
GACGAACGCUGGCGGCGUGCCUAAUACAUGCAAGUUGAGCGCUGAAGGUUGGUACUUGUACCAACUGGAUGAGCAGCGAACGGGUGAGUAACGCGUGGGGAAUCUGCCUUUGAGCGGGGGACAACAUUUGGAAACGAAUGCUAAUACCGCAUAAAAACUUUAAACACAAGUUUUAAGUUUGAAAGAUGCAAUUGCAUCACUCAAAGAUGAUCCCGCAUUGUAUUAGCUAGUUGGUGAGGUAAAGGCUCACCAAGGCGAUGAUACAUAGCCGACCUGAGAGGGUGAUCGGCCACAUUGGGACUGAGACACGGCCCAGACUCCUACGGGAGGCAGCAGUAGGGAAUCUUCGGCAAUGGACGAAAGUCUGACCGAGCAACGCCGCGUGAGUGAAGAAGGUUUUCGGAUCGUAAAACUCUGUUGGUAGAGAAGAACGUUGGUGAGAGUGGAAAGCUCAUCAAGUGACGGUAACUACCCAGAAAGGGACGGCUAACUACGUG